GACGAACGCUGGCGGCGUGCCUAAUACAUGCAAGUCGAACGCUUCCUACCGGUGCUUGCACCGGGAAAGAAGAGUGGCGGACGGGUGAGUAACACGUGGGUAACCUACCUACAAGCGGGGGAUAACAUUCGGAAACGGAUGCUAAUACCGCAUAGAUCUUUUUGUCUCCUGACAGAAAGAAGAAAGACGGUUUCGGCUGUCACUUGUAGAUGGACCCGCGGCGCAUUAGUUAGUUGGUGAGGUAAUGGCUCACCAAGACGAUGAUGCGUAGCCGACCUGGGAGGGUGAUCGGCCACACUGGGACUGAGACACGGCCCAGACUCCUACGGGAGGCAGCAGUAGGGAAUCUUCCGCAAUGGACGAAAGUCUGACGGAGCAACGCCGCGUGAGUGAAGAAGGUUUUCGGAUCGUAAAACUCUGUUGUUAGAGAAGAACAAGGAUGAGAGUAACUGCUCGUCCCUUGACGGUAUCUAACCAGAAAGCCAUGGCUAACUACGUGCCAGCCGCCGCAGUAA
rnacentral:rRNA from 1 species